AAAUGCGCAGAUAUCAGGAGGAACACCAAUGGCGAAGGCAGGUCCUGGGCAGUAACUGACGCUGAGGAGCGAAAAGCAUGGGUAGCGAACAGGAUUAGAUACCCGGUAGUCCAUGCCGUAAACGGUGGGCGAUAGGUGUAGGGGUCUUCCACGACUUCUGUGCCUAGGUAACGCAUUAAGCGCCCCGCCUGGGGAGUACGGCCGCAAGGCUAAAACUCAAAGGAUUGACGGGGGCCCGCACACGCGGCGGAGCAUGUGGAUUAAUUCGAUGCAACGCGAAGAACUUACCUGGGCUUGACAUACACCGGACCGGGCCAGAGAUGGUCUUUCCCUUGUGGCUGGUGACAGGUGGUGCAUGGUUGUCGUCAGCUCGUGUCGUGAGAUGUUGGGUUAAGUCCCGCAACAGCGCAACCCUUGUCUUAUGUUGCCAGCACGUGAUGGUGGGGACUCAUGAGAGACUGCCGGGUCAACUCGGAGGAAGGUGGGGAUGACGUCAAAUCAUCAUGCCCCUUAUGUCCAGGGCUCACACAUGCUACAAUGGUCGGUACAACGCGUCGCGACAUCGUAAGGUGGAGCUAAUCGCUAAAGCCGGCCUCAGUUCGGAUUGGGGUCUGCAACUCGACCCCAUGAAGUCGGAGUCGCUAUAAUCGCAGAUCAGCAACGCUGCGGUGAAUACGUUCCCGGGCCUUGCACACACCGCCCGU
rnacentral:rRNA from 1 species